UUCGCAAUGCCCGAAAGGGUGACGAAGCGACGCCGCGUGCGGGAAGAAGGCCUUCGGGUUGUAAACCGCUGUCGGGAGUUAAGAAAUGCAAGGGUGUUAAUAGCAUCCUUGUUUGACUAAGGCUCCGGAGGAAGCCACGGCUAACUCUGUGCCAGCAGCCGCGGUAAUACAGAGGCGGCAAGCGUUGUUCGGAAUUAUUGGGCGUAAAGAGCACGUAGGCGGCUGUGUAAGUCGGUUGUGAAAGCCUUCCGCUCAACGGGAGAACGGCAUCCGAUACUGCAUGGCUUGAGUGCGUGAGGGGAGAGUGGAACUUCUGGUGGAGCGGUGAAAUGCGUAGAUAUCAGAAGGAACACCGGCGGCGAAGGCGACUCUCUGGCCCGUAACUGACGCUGAGUGUGCGAAAGCUAGGGGAGCAAACGGGAUUAGAUACCCCGGUAGUCCUAGCCGUAAACGAUGGGCACUAAGUAGAGGGGUUUU
rnacentral:rRNA from 1 species